rnacentral:rRNA from 1 species
GACGAACGCUGGCGGCGUGCUUAACACAUGCAAGUCGAACGGAAAGGCCCUGCUUUUGUGGGGUGCUCGAGUGGCGAACGGGUGAGUAACACGUGAGUAACCUGCCCUUGACUUUGGGAUAACUUCAGGAAACUGGGGCUAAUACCGGAUAGGAGCUCCUGCUGCAUGGUGGGGGUUGGAAAGUUUCGGCGGUUGGGGAUGGACUCGCGGCUUAUCAGCUUGUUGGUGGGGUAGUGGCUUACCAAGGCUUUGACGGGUAGCCGGCCUGAGAGGGUGACCGGCCACAUUGGGACUGAGGUACGGCCCAGACUUCUAAGGGAGGCAACAGUAGGGAAUAUUGCAAAAAGGGCGGAAGCCUGAAGCAAAAAAGCCGGGUGAGGGAGGACGGCCUUCGGGUUGUAAACCGCUUUCGCCUGUGACGAAGCGUGAGUGACGGUAAUGGGUAAAGAAGCACCGGCUAACUACGUG